UACGGAGGGUGCAAGCGUUAUCCGGAUUCACUGGGUUUAAAGGGUGCGUAGGUGGGCAGUUAAGUCAGUGGUGAAAUCUCCGGGCUUAACCCGGAAACUGCCAUUGAUACUAUCUGUCUUGAAUAUCGUGGAGGUAAGCGGAAUAUGUCAUGUAGCGGUGAAAUGCUUAGAUAUGACAUAGAACACCAAUUGCGAAGGCAGCUUACUACCCGAAUAUUGACACUGAGGCACGAAAGCGUGGGGAUCAAAACAGG
rnacentral:rRNA from 1 species